CUGAGUGAGGGAGCAAUCCCGACCUCCAACCCUUUGUGAACGCAUCAUGUUGCCUCGGGGGCGACCCUGCCGUUCGCGGCAUUCCCCCGGAGGUAAUCAAAGCACUGCAUUCUUACGUCGGAGUAAAAAGUUAAUUUAAUA
rnacentral:misc_RNA from 1 species